CGUAAAGCGUCAUGCAGGUGGUUUGUUAAGUCAGAUGUGAAAGCCCCGGGGCUUCAACCUCGGAAUUGCAUUUGAAACUGGUCAAACUUAGAGUACUGUAGAGGGGGGUAGAAUUUCAGGUGUAGCGGUGAAAAUGCGUAGAGAUCUGAAGGAAUACCGGUGGCGAAGGCGGCCCCCUGGACAGAUACUGACACUCAGAUGCGAAAGCGUGGGGAGCAAAACAGGAUUAGAUACCCCUGGUAG
rnacentral:rRNA from 1 species